rnacentral:rRNA from 1 species
UACGUAGGGUGCGAGCGUUAAUCGGAAUUACUGGGCGUAAAGCGUGCGCAGGCGGUGGCUCAAGCCAGGCGUGAAAUCCCCGGGCUUAACCUGGGAAUGGCGUUUGGGACUGGGUCGCUAGAGUGUGGCAGAGGGGAGGUGGAAUUCCACGUGUAGCAGUGAAAUGCGUAGAGAUGUGGAGGAACACCGAUGGCGAAGGCAGCCUCCUGGGCCAGCACUGACGCUCAUGCACGAAAGCGUGGGGAGCGAACAGG